rnacentral:misc_RNA from 1 species
GUUAAGUGAAUAAAAAUUAUGAACAGUGAUUACACAGAGUAUUAUAGAAAUAUAAACUAUAAAUUGAAAUUUUAAUUAAAUCCGCCAGCGUCUAUCACAAUAACUAGUAUGUGCCAACUCCAUCCAUCCCUGGAACUCAUGUUAAUAAUCCAUCUGCCAAAAGCACGUACGGUUCUAAAUUGCACUAAAAUUUGCAACAAGCAAACUGAAUUGUGAAGCAACUGAAUCAUAAACAGAGGUGCGAAUUAUUGCAGAUACAAUCAGCUAUCUGGAUAUAUAUAUAUAUAUAUAUA